AAUUAGGAAAACUCUUGAUUAACUGUACAGCACAAGAAGUCUGAUCCACUUUAUUGAAAUCAACUCCUAAGUGCAGAUACCACAAGCAGUUGAGCUUGGGAGGAAGCUCAUCCAGAACUAUAUUUGCAUUCAAAAGCGUUCAGACCAAGGAACCCAAACAAAGUUGUUCAAGUGAAGGAAAGCUAAAUAGAAACUUUUCCAAGGUUGAUAUUUCAUCAUGUUUUGGAUUAUCCUCCACUUUUUCCAAUUCAAUCACCAACACGCUCAUUUUUUUGCAAUUCAUGAAGCAAUUUAGCACGAGAUAGUGACCCCCAAGAACAACCAAGGACUCUAACUGUGGUGAAACCAUCUUCAAGUAUUGAGUGCCACAACAGAACGUCAAGACUAAAUCCACAAGAAGGGGAACAUCGAUAACACAAAACUGGUUGGUUGGCACAAAUGUUAUUCUUUCUAGAUGAAGAUAAGUAAGAUUCCGAAAGCCAAGAAAAUAAAUUGGUGGUUUGAAGACACAGUUGAAGAGUUCCAAAUGUGUCAAGGUCGGACAGUUAAAUACAUAAGAAGGCAGUAUAUAAAUUUUAUUAUCCGACAUAUUAACAGUUAACUCCUUGACACCAUUUUUGGUGACAUAACGCAUCCAUCUAUUAAUACUAGCAUAUGAAGACAAAUUUAUUCCUGAAACG